GAUGAAGAACGCAGCGAAAUGCGAUAAGUAGUGUGAAUUGCAGAAUUCAGUGAAUCAUCGAAUCUUUGAACGCACAUUGCGCCCUUUGGUAUUCCAAAGGGCAUGCCUGUUCGAGCGUCAUUUGUACCCUCAAGCUUUGCUUGGUGUUGGGCGUCUUGUCUCUAGCUUUGCUGGAGACUCGCCUUAAAGUAAUUGGCAGCCGGCCUACUGGUUUCGGAGCGCAGCACAAGUCGCACUCUCUAUCAGCAAAGGUCUAGCAUCCAUUAACCCUUUUUUUCAACUUUUGACCUCGGAUCAGGUAGGGAUACCCGCUGAACUUAAGCAUAUCAAUAAGCGGAGGA
rnacentral:misc_RNA from 1 species